ensembl:lncRNA
ACAUCAGCGGGCAGCGUGAGCCUCCCUGGCCCCGGCGAUGGGGAGAGUAGACCCAACCCUGAAAGAAUGGGAGGAUGAUGAUGACAAUAACAGCAGCCUUUCCUCAGGUUAGUGUAGUCCCCUGGUGAACUUAGGACUUAUAGUCGUACUUUCAAAACUAGUUGCCUGUCUAUUAAAAAAAGUAAAUGUUUAUUUUACAUUAAAUAAAUAAUAGGGGACACCUGAUUUCUAAGUGGGGAGGUGUAUAUUUGUCGUGCAUGGAGUAAUAUUUGUCAUAGUGAUGAAUACUAAUGUUAAGUUCAUAUUAUUUAGUUAAAUAAUAUCUCCAGAGGUUUUAGGCCGUUAGCCUUUUAUUACUUACUGUUUGAUGUUACAGUAUUAUUGGUCAGUUGUGUAUUCACGCUGUAUAGCCAAUGGUGAUUGGUUUGGAAAACAACGGGGAAGACACGUGACAGGAAAGUGCUGCAAGUUUUGGGGAAAACGAGGGGUCGUGAAGAGCACGGGAUGCCGGCGUUUUUGGAGAGAGGGAAAGAGGGGAAAGCCGCUAGCAGGAGAUAAGAAGGCGGAAUAAACCGGCGCGGGAGGCUGGAAGGAGUGGACCGCCGACUUGGUGUGUUUGUGAGCCCAGAAACGGAGGAAAAAACCGAAGCCGAAACCCCGUCGGACGGAGCGGGAGAGAAGCAGCGGAGCUCGCCAUCGAGGGAGCCGAGCUUGCUAGCCACGGUGGGCGAGGCCGGGCGGAAGUGUCGGAGAAUCGCAUCGCGGUCCCGAGUUUCCACGCUCUCAAUGUUUUGAAAGUGAUUUCAGCGCACUCAAUGUUUUGCCAGACCAAACAGGCCUGCAACGUGUUUUUUUUCCAUAUAUAUCGUUGCCGUCUGUUACGACAUUUGUGGUGAAGGGACUGCAGGGUGAAGGAACUUCUUCCACCGUGGAAUCUCCAUGGUUCAGAUCUGCCACAACACCAUGUGAUUCUGGAUGGCAGAACAUGUUGACUCCCUUUUCCUGAUUCUCGUAGAUCGUAGUUCCUUCUGGACCCUGGUCCUGACACCUGCCGCUGCCAUCAUCAUUAUUGUUUUAGAUAUUAAUCAUAUUACUGUACUCAAACCAACAUUAACCUCUCUUAAAGUCUCC